rnacentral:lncRNA from 1 species
CGGAUUUAAAAUUUACUGUACCAAGCUUAGAAAACAAUAUGGAAUAAUCACGCAUGUUCGAAAAUACAAUUCGAAAUUUCCCCUAUUGGCACGCGUCUCGAGGUCAUUGGACUCGAUCACUAGAAAAUUUUUGACAGUAACGAAAACUCAAUCCGAGCACAAUGAUGGAAAACCCACAAUCUCAAAAGUCUAGAUGUACAAUUAUUUUGGCCAAAAAGUGGCUGGAAAAUUCUAGAUCGUCGUUUGAAGUUUCAAUGCUGGCGAGCUUAUUCAAUGGUAAAAUGACAAAGAUCGAGGCUGAGUUACGAGAAACUCAUUUCCGGUGUCUUCUCUUCCAUUUAAGGUCGAGAAACGACUAAUUCGAAGGUAGCAGCUAGUUAGAGAGAGAAAUCCAACUUCCAAGUUUUUGUUUCGGCAAUUUCAGGCUGUUUCCGGCAAAACCAAGGGUGGAGCUGAGCCAACAUUGUCGAUAAGGGUUCUAGCAGGAGGUCCACAACCAAUGGUGUCCGGACGACAAGGAAACAAUGAGAGAGGGAUGGGCGACAAUGGGUAUUUUCAUGGAAAGCGAGACAAGUAGGGGGACGGGUUUUUCUUUUUUUAAAAUUUCAAUUUGGUGCUU